AUUGAACGCUGGCGGCAUGCCUUACACAUGCAAGUCGAACGGCAGCAUGGAGAGCUUGCUCUCUGAUGGCGAGUGGCGAACGGGUGAGUAAUGCAUCGGAACGUACCGUGUAAUGGGGGAUAACGUAGCGAAAGUUACGCUAAUACCGCAUACGACCUGAGGGUGAAAGCAGGGGAUCGCAAGACCUUGCGUUAUACGAGCGGCCGAUGUCAGAUUAGCUAGUUGGUGAGGUAAAGGCUCACCAAGGCGACGAUCUGUAGCGGGUCUGAGAGGAUGAUCCGCCACACUGGGACUGAGACACGGCCCAGACUCCUACGGGAGGCAGCAGUGGGGGAUUUUGGACAAUGGGGGCAACCCUGAUCCAGCCAUGCCGCGUGAGUGAAGAAGGCCUUCGGGUUGUAAAGCUCUUUCGGCCGGGAAGAAAUCGCACAGGCUAAUACUCUGUGUGGAUGACGGUACCGGCGUAAGAAGCACCGGCUAACUACGUGCCAGCAGCCGCAGUAACAC
rnacentral:rRNA from 1 species